AACGAACGCUGGCGGCAGGCUUAACACAUGCAAGUCGAACGCAUCCUUCGGGGUGAGUGGCAGACGGGUGAGUAACACGUGGGAACGUACCUUUCGGUUCGGGAUAACCCAGGGAAACUUGGGCUAAUACCGGAUACGUCCUUUGGGAGCAGUCCUUUGGGAGAAAGAUUCAUUGCCGAGAGAUCGGCCCGCGUCUGAUUAGCUAGUUGGUGGGUAACGGCUCACCAAGGCGACGAUCAGUAGCUGGCUGAGAGGAUGAUCAGCCACACUGGGACUGAGACACGGCCCAGACUCCUACGGGAGGCAGCAGUGGGGAAUAUUGGACAAUGGGCGCAAGCCUGAUCCAGCCAUGCCGCGUGAGUGAUGAAGGCCUUAGGGUUGUAAAGCU
rnacentral:rRNA from 1 species